rnacentral:rRNA from 1 species
GUAGGUGGCAAGCGUUGUCCGGAAUUAUUGGGCGUAAAGCGCGCGCAGGCGGUUCUUUAAGUCUGAUGUGAAAGCCCACGGCUCAACCGUGGAGGGUCAUUGGAAACUGGAGAACUUGAGUACAGAAGAGGAAAGCGGAAUUCCACGUGUAGCGGUGAAAUGCGUAGAGAUGUGGUGGAACACCAGUGGCGAAGGCGGCUUUCUGGUCUGUAACUGACGCUGAGGCGCGAAAGCGUGGGGAGCAAACAGGAUUAGAUACCCUGGUAGUCCACGCCGUAAACGAUGAGUGCUAAGUGUUAGGGGGGUUUCCGCCCCCCUUAGUGCUGCAGCUAACGCAUUAAGCACUCCGCCUGGGAGUACGGCCGCAAGGCUG